GAACUAAUCAGGAUCCCCAUAGUAAUGGCGAAUGAACAGGGAUGAGCUCAGCAUGGAAAUUGGGGCCUGUGGCUUUGACUUGUAAUCUCGUGAUGCAUUGCCAACAGAGGCGCAGAUGUAAGUCUCUUGGAAAAGAGCAUCAAUGAGGGUGAGAGUCUUGCUUGUCAUUUGCAGCACCCCUGUGCACGGUGUGCCUUCUAAGAGACGUUCCUCGGGAUUGGAGCGCAAAGUGGGUGGUGACUUUCAUCUGAAGCUAAACAAUUGUUUUGGACCGAUAGGAAACACGUGCCAUGAGGGAAAGGUGAAAAUGACUUUGGAAAGAGAGUUAAAAGUGCCUGAAAUUGAUGAAGGGGAAGCGAAUGGGACCAGUGGCGCUGGGUGAGAUUGUCGCACGCUGCAGGGAUUGGUUGUUGCAUCAGCGCAAGCGAUCUAGCGACUGCUGAUUUGUAAGUGUGUGGUGUGUCUUGCCUUGUGUGUCAUUGUGGGUUUAUGCAUUAAGACAAUUCAAAGUGCAUGGCAAUAUGUUUCUGAAUCUAUGAAUGUGUUUUGUUAUGUUUAUGCAUAAGCUUCAUGUUCUAUGUCUGGCUGCAGUGCCUGCCGUCCCCAUUUUUUUGGGGUAGAUGAGCUGAGCAUGUC
rnacentral:rRNA from 1 species